UGCCAAACCCUCUGGCCCUAACCUAUCAUGUAUGAAAGGUGAAAUAGGAGCAUACUCUGAUUUCACAGUUUUAACCAUCAUCCUGUGACCCCAAAAGUCCAUCACAGGUCCUCGUGUAGGACGCCCAACAUCUGGACGCACACAGCAUGACUACUAGUGCUGAGCAGCCACCCACAGAGGGAAGUGAGGAGAAAUCUGAGAGUUUUACUUGGGCUGACAUUGAGGGCAUAUGCACAAAGACAUUAAAUGUAAAAGAAAUGGCCUGUGCUGAGCAACAGAGAAAGCUGUAUCAGAGAUAAAACCAAACAGGAAGCUUCCUAUGACACAGCUCCAGUGGAAGAAGAGAAAGCACCACCUCAUUACUGCAAGGUGGAAACAGAAGUCCAAGAGAGAUUCUUUGUUACCACUUGACAUGGAUGGGAAUCUAGGUACUCCCUGAUGGAGAGAAGGAGGACUGCCUCAUUAUGCUCACCAUGUAACCUACAAUAGCACCAUGGAAGGGGGAUGUGGACGUCUGUUAUCACUGGGUGGUUGUGAAAGCCCUGACUCUAUUGGCUUCUUUGGACAUAAUGCCAGUGGGGAGGGGGAAGAAUGCCUCAUUAAUGCCAUCUGUGGGUAGAAAUCCAGGCUACCCACUUGAAUUACCUCACAGGAUUGCUGGUCAAAGACACUCGGAGAGACUCCAGGCAUGUGACAAGUCUCUCAUCUGCAGACCCCAUUUUCAGCUCAUGAAUGAAUUCCUGAGGUUCACCAUCCAACGGCAGGAAAUGAAUUGUGUAAGUUCAAAAGAAGAUCAGGUGAAGUGGUACGAAAUUCGGUGUUUUUCAUGUUUUUUGUUUUUAUUAAUUUACUAUAAUGUUAUUCAAAACAACAUUCCCAAUAAAGCAAAACAAAUUAGCACUGUAAAG
rnacentral:lncRNA from 1 species